GGUGCCGGGAUCUGGGAAGGAGGCGGCGUCCGGAGGGUCGGGGAAAGGAGGCGGCCUCCGGCGCGCGGGAGAGGGAGGUGGCCGGCGCGGGGGAAGGAGGAGGGUGGCGCACGGUGGAGAGAGGCGUUCGGCGCGAGGGGCAGGGAGGUAGCCGGCGCGGGGAAGGAGAGGGGCGGCGCGCGGUGGAGGGAUGCCGCCGGCGCGGUGGAAGGAGGCGGCGAUGGUGGUCACAGUGGAGGGCCGUGGGCGCGGGCGGCGAUGGUGGUCUAUUCUGCGAACACCCUUAAGAGUCUGCUAACAACAUGCUUAUUCUGCUAACACGAGACGCCAAACAGACAGUAACAAAAACAGCCCACCCCACCCACCAACGGGCACAACCCACCCACCCCCACCCGCACCGGCGGUCAAAUCCAUCGGCCCAGUACCUACGAGCUUCUCCCCGAUCCCCCACCGCCUCCCACCGCGCUCCUCGCCCACCACCACGGCCACCACCUCCCACCGCGCCGGCCACCGCCCGACCACCAUCUUCCACAACGCCGGCCACCGCGCCACCGACCACCACCACGGCCGAUCUGCCACGUCCGCCCUUCCCAAACCACGGCCGCGCCGCCCCUCCCCAGGAUGCCGUCGUGCCCCUGGCCGACACUCCGCCGCUGGCCAUCGGGCCUGCCGGAUCGCCACGCCGCCCCACCUCCCUCCCAGCUCUGGCUACCAACCCCGACCCCCGGCGACCUCCUUCUGUGCCGCGACGGCUGGAUCCACCCUCCCCCUCCCCGGCAGCCACGGCUCGCCCGCUAGCUCACGGAGGCCUCCCCACCGUGGCCCGCCCCACGCUGUCGUGGCAACCUACCCUUGCCGGCUCCUCCCAUGGCGGUCGCCCCGGCGUCAUUGAUGAGGAGGGCUGACGGCGACCUCCCUCGAUCUCGUCUCCCGUCGUUGUCGCGGCGACGGAUCUGUCGUUGUGGGCGCCGGCAACUGUCGCAGCAGUGAGCCCCUUCUGCCCCCUCACCCAUUCUCCUCCGCUACGGAUCACAAAUCAGUAGCCUUCGGGCAGGACGACGACGUUGACGCCUCCUGUGAGAACAUCAACUAUGUCACCCCAUUACUCUCCAAUCAUCACCUGGUUCAUCUGUGAUUUGGCAGGGACAAGUUAAGGGAUGACAGGCGUGUGUGCAAUCAGUUGGAACAAUGCAUAUGCAUCAAUGAGCCAUCAAUCUUCAGCAACGGAUUGGAUGCUCAUUGUGGAUAUGUAGCCAGUCCUCGUGUUGUUCUUCUUCGUGCAAAAUUCACCAACAAUGAAGUGCAGGUUACUCCUCGAGGCAGGUCAUUUCCAUCCUCGGUGCAGUUAACUGGCGUGCAAUUUUGUUAGUGAGGGGAAGCGGUUCUGCAACUUGCAUGCGCCAUUUCACCGGAAGGAGUCCACUUCUCGGACAAGCAGCAGGAAUUUUUCCCGGAAACAUGACACAGCGGUACAGCUGGAUCCCAUGGAGGUUCAGAUUCUUAUUUCAGCGUUCAUAUUUGCAGUGCAUUGCUUGUUUGUCGAACAAAAAAAUGGCUAUUCAUUCUGGCGCUUUUCUCUUGCAUUCAAAAACUUGUUAUGGCUUAAGGAGUGCAGUUAAUUGUUGGGUGUUGUA